AUCGAACCCUACUUGAUAUAACCUUAGCUUAUCUAACCCUAGUUGAUCGAACCCUACUCCAUCUAACCCUAUUUUAUUUUCACCCAUUUUAACCAUUUGUGGCAGAAAAAAACGUACGCAUGAAAUCAGAUGUAAAUAGUGACUACCCAAAAGUUUUUAACAAAAACAAGAAUGACAUACUGGGUACAGUGGAUAUAUUAGCUACACCCCGGAAUGGUGUACUUGUCAAUGAGAACGAGUUAUUUGUAUCAUGUUUUGUUAACAACGUUUUAUAUGCAAAAAGUGAUUUUGUUUAUAAGCGUACAGAUUUCAAAUUACCAACACUCAACAUAUUAGAUGCAGAAAAGUAAUAUUAUUAUAUAACUUACUAAUAGUUUAUGUAUGUAUGUAUAAAUGUACCUAGCAUAUAUGUUUAUAAGAUAAGUGUUUUAUGUAUGCACAAGUUGACAAAAAGUAACAUUUCUUGAUAUUUCUAUAUACUAAUAAUUAAUAUGUGUUAAUCAUUAGGAUAAAAAAAAAAAGAAAAAAGGAAAAAAAAAAAAAAAUUUUGCUUGUUUAGUUAUUCACUUAGUCUUUUAGUUAUCUACUCAUUUUUUUUUUAUUUAACCUCAUUUUUUUUUGUGUGCAGAAAAAACAUAUUACAACUUCUAGAUUUAGAUGAACGGAUUUUUAAAACCCCAGAAAACAUUUUUUUUCCAUCAAAAGAUUUCAGUUUAUUUCUGAAAAUGUUUAAAAAAAAUAAUUCAGAUUUAGUAUAUGGUUUGGAUGUGGAAAACGUGUCGAAGAUGCUAAUAAAUAAAUAUACGACUUAUAUGAACGAAAAUGUUUUAAACAAAAAAGUAGAAUUUACAAGUGACAUAAAAAAUACAUUGGACAAUGGAUAUAACCACUUCAUGGAGCAACGUGAUAACUGGUACAACUGCAGAGAACUAAUUGAAGAUAUAGAAACGAAUAGAAAACAAUCUAAAAAGAUAGAAGAGUUUGUUUUAGGAGUUUGUGCAUGUACUAAAACGAUCAUUUAUAAUGAGAAAUAUUCGAAUAACUCAAUAAAAGAAUAUAAAGAGAAAAGUUUUAAAAAAGAUAAUAAGCAAAACGUGUAUCAUGAGGAAUUUAACAUCGAUUGUGAUAUGGAAAAAGAUUUUUACGAUACAUGUAUAAAUUAUAUUGAAUAUGAAGAUAUAUGUUUAUAUAACACUAUACGAACAAUAGGAUACUCAAUGUAUUGUUAUAAAAACAAUAUAUUUUUUUAUAAUUUAAAAAAAAAAAGCUAAAAAAUAUUAUUUGAUUGGUUUUCAUGACUUUUUAAGUAGUAAUAAAUUUAUUAUGUGUAUAUUAAAAAAAAAAAAA
rnacentral:lncRNA from 1 species